CCUACGGGAGUCAGCAGUGAGGAAUAUUGGUCAAUGGACGAGAGUCUGAACCCGCCAAGUAGCGUGAAGGAUGACUGCCCUAUGGGUUGUAAACUUCUUUUAUAUGGGAAUAAAAUGUUCCACGUGUGGGAUUUUGUAUGUACCAUAUGAAUAAGGAUCGGCUAACUCCGUGCCAGCAGCCGCGGUAAUACGGAGGAUCCGAGCGUUAUCCGGAGUUAUUGGGUUUAAAGGGAGCGUAGGUGGAUUGUUAAGUCAGUUGUGAAAGUUUGCGGCUCAACCGUAAAAUUGCAGUUGAAACUGGCAGUCUUGAGUACAGUAGAGGUGGGCGGAAUUCGUGGUGUAGCGGUGACAUGCUUAGAUAUCACGAAGAACUCCGAUUGCGAAGGCGGCUUACUGGACUGUAACUGACGUUGAGGCUCGAAAGCGUGGGGAGCAAACAGGAUUAGAUACCCUAGUAGUC
rnacentral:rRNA from 1 species